rnacentral:rRNA from 1 species
AGAGUUUGAUCCUGGCUCAGGACGAACGCUGGCGGCGUGCCUUACACAUGCAAGUCGAACGGGGUUACAUCGGAAGCUUGCUUUCGAUAUAGCCUAGUGGCGGACGGGUGAGUAACACGUGAGCAACCUACCCGACAACCCGGGAUAACAGUGGGAAACUGCUGCUAAUACCGGAUACUCCGCAUCCACCGCAUGGUGGAUACGGGAAAGAUUUAUCGAUGUCGGAUGGGCUCGCGUCCCAUUAGCUAGUUGGUGGGGUAAUGGCCUACCAAGGCUGCGAUGGGUAGCUGGUCUGAGAGGACGAUCAGCCACACUGGAACUGAGACACGGUCCAGACUCCUACGGGAGGCAGCAGUGGGGAAUAUUGCACAAUGGGCGAAAGCCUGAUGCAGCGACGCCGCGUGGAGGAUGAAGGCUUUCGGGUCGUAAACUCCUGUCUGGGGGGAUGAAUACUGACAGUACCCCCGGAGGAAGCCCCGGCUAANUACGUGCCAGCAGCCGCGGUAAUAC